AACUAAGACUCCCAACCAAUAUUCUACAACGGUGCCGUCCAGUGGAACUUUCUGCCUUCACAGAAAUGUUCUAGAGUCUGAGCUCUCCAGCUCGGGAGCCCUGGCCUCGGUCAGCCACAGGGUUCUUGAUAUGUGGCCCGUGUGGCCACAGAACGGAAUUUCAAAUUUUAUUUAACUUCUCUGGUGGCGCAGUUGUAGAGAAUCUGCCUGCCAAUGCAGGAGACGUAAGUUCGAUCCCUGGGUUGGAAAGAGCACCCGGGGAAACAAAUGGCAGCCCACUCAAGUGUUCUUGCUGGAGAAUCCCAGGGACAGAGGAGUCUGGUGGGCUGCAGUCCAUGGGGUCGCAGAGAGUCAGGCAUGACUUGGUAACUAAACAGCAACAACAAAGCCAUCCACAUUUAAGUAGCCGACUGUGGCUGGAGGCACCCUCCUGGAGGGCACCGCACUAUGAUAUGAAUUAAGGUGGGGCGCGCCUCAGGAUUAGCUGAGAUCUCAGUGGCCAAGGUCAUGGGGCUCAGGGACGAGACGGGCGAGCCGGGCUUCCUCCAGGAGGACCAGGGCGGUGGCAGGUUUCCCUUCAACACACUUUAGGGAUCUGAGCACAACGGUCUGCUGACAGAACCAUACGCCGCAGCGCGGACGGUGGGUGUGGCGGGCAGCGCUGCAGAGGAAGUCCAGGUGGGAGGUCAGAGCACUGCCCAGGUGAGCAGAGCGACGCCCAGGAAGGUGCCCAGGUGAGCAGAGCGACGCCCAGGAAGGUGCCCAAGGGUUACCUGAGUCGUUUGCACCACCGAAGACCUAUUCUGAAAUGAAAUUUUUCUUACGGACCUGUUACAAGGAAGGCUUUGUCUAAUACUUGGGAAGAAAGCUGUUGGAGGGCAGAGUUCUGCUGGCAUCUCUGGGGCCUGGUGAGGAGCUGGUCUGAAGAAACGUUUCUGUGAGCAGACUGAGCAUCUCUCCAUCUGUCCUGGGGAGAACCUUCCUGACCGCGCCUCAGGGCACCCCCUUUCCUACUGGACUUCCCCUGCCGUGCACCCCUCUUCCAGCGUCUCCAUCAGCCCUCAGGAGACCGAGACCCCGCCCCGGGGUCACCAGGGCCACUCUGCCUCCUCCUCAUUUCACAGGGGGUCCUAGAAGGCUUUGUUGGAGGAAAGGGAAGUCUGAAGCCACUCGAGCUUUCUGGGGACGUGAGAACCCGUGUCCCAGCCCCGUGGACUGUGGCCCGGGAACCUGCGCCCUGUGGACCACAGUCUGGGGACCCACGUCCCGACCCUGGGGACCGCAGUCUGGGCCCUGCUGACCUCUGGCCUCCUUUGGUCCAACACAUCAGGGACAGUCGCUCGUCUGGUGGCCGUGAGGCCAACAUUGACUAUUUCAUCAUUAACCUUCUCAAGGGCUUAGACUUUAUGCUUCCACUGUGGUUCCUGUCAGUCUUUUGGAUCAAGUCCCACGUGAUUCCGGGUUUCUCUGGAUGUUUUCUAGGUCUCACUGGGGAUCUUGUGUGACUAGGCCAGAGAGUGUUGUUAGCAAAAAUCUUAGGCUCUGAAAAUGUGUUUUAAAUUUAUGUGCAGAGCCUAACUCUGGUCUUAAUUUCUCUUAAAAAAAAAUCUUUUCUUCAGUCUGAGCAUCUACCUUUUCAACUGCUAUUUAUGACUAAAAACAAAACCUGAUCGAUCCGGUCUCCAAGUCCAUAGGUUUACCUGAUAAAGAAGCAGAGGUCUGCAGGCCUUGACGUGUCCAUGUGAUCAAAGUUUCCAACUUCACAGUCCAUCCCUCAGCCCCGAGCAGAGCCCAGGAGCCCCGAGCAGAGCCCAGGAGCCCUGAGGUCAGGGUCAGGGGCUGAGCUGACUUCCCAUUCCCCCAGGAAAGAAACCCUGCAUGAUAAGAUUUGUGGGAAACACUGAAAUCACGGAACUCAAGGCCAGCAGGGCUGCUUCUGAGCUGAGACCACGCCUACAAUUUGGAAACCGUGACUCUCUUGCCUAAGCUCAGGUGCAAUGAAAACAGAUUGAAAAUUGUUUCUCUGCCAAAUGUUUAUGUGAUGGUUUUCCUCAUCAUUGUAAAGUGACAAACACACACCCGAACUGGACACGUGUCACGCAGGAGGGCUGUUGAUUUAGAUCCUGAAUUAGAGCGGGUGUUGGGAAAUCAACUAAAUAAAACUCCAAAGUCACCGGCUGGACACUGAAA